CCUCUGCCCAAUCGCACAUCCAUCAGAUGUUGAAGGAGAAGCUGGCUGAGCUGAGGAAGCUGUGCCAAGGACUGUUUUUUCGGGUAGAGGAGCGCAAGAAGUGGCCCGAACGGCUGUCUGCCCUCGAUAAUCUCCUCAACCAUUCCAGCAUGUUCCUCAAGGGGGCCCGGCUCAUCCCAGAGAUGGACCAGAUCUUCACUGAGGUGGAGAUGACAACGUUAGAGAAAGUCAUCAAUGAGACCUGGGUAAUCACUUCGUAAAUACUUAACCAGAUACUUAGUGCCAUCCUAGGUACUGUGGGAGAGGUGGAGAGAUGAAGCCACAGCAGCCCCUGCCUCCUGGCUUAGCAUCUAACCUGAAGACAAAAGAUGUUUGUAUUUGAGCCCACCUCUGAUUAGUCCCAAGCAAGGGCCAUGGCCAUAAGAGUCAUCAGCCUGGAGGAGCAAAAAAGCCCAUCCCAUGAGGACAGAGAAAGCUGCUUUGAGGGGCUGGGAUUUGAGCUAGGUUCAGAACAUGGGCCAGGGUUUGGCUAGGUGAAACUGAUGUGUCAUGUGAAGCAGAAACUGUUUUGGAUGUGUGGGGACUCUUGAGCCAGAGCUCAGUAAAGUGGAGAGUCAAGAUAUGAGUAUUCAGCUGGGCGCGGUGGCUCACGCCUGUAAUCCCAGCACUUAAGGAGGCUGAGGUGGGCGAAUCACCAGGUCAAGAGAUUGAGACCAUCCUGGUCAACAUGGUGAAACCCUGUCUCUACUAAAUAUACAGAAAUUAGCUGGGCGUGGUCGCCUGUAGUCCUAGCUACUCAGGAGGCUGA
rnacentral:sRNA from 1 species